UAUAUCAGGAUAUCUAGCACCCUCACUCACAUGCAACUCCAUCUUGCACAUGCAGAUACAUGGAGCGAAACGGAAUGCAAAGAGGAGUAGCAGAAUGCAAACAAAUACAAAUGGAAAGACUUGCAUUCAAGACUUCCAAAAAACCAAAGCUCUGGUACCAUGUUAGAUCACCAAUUGUUCUAAAAGCUCAAGUUAUUGGGCAAUGGGCCUAACAAAAUAAAUAAAACUAUCCAACAUUUUGAAGCAUUGUUAACGAUACUCAAGGGACACUUGUUAGCAUGACCCCUUAAUUUAAGUUUCCAAAAAAUCCCUUUCACAAUUUGA
rnacentral:lncRNA from 1 species